GAGAACAUGGCCUGGAUGGAGUUCAUGGUGAACAGGGUGGUGCUGGAGUUCCUGGCGCACCUGGGGAGAGAGGAGAUCCUGGCAACCCUGGUCGACGAGGCAUCAGAGGGGAUCUUGGCAUAAAGGGACAGCAUGGUUUAAGAGGAGAUACUGGAGAACAUGGGGCAGACAACAUACUUGCAGGCCAAAAGGGAAAACAGGGAAACAGAGGAAGACAGGGAGAUACAGGGCUGGAUGGUCAAGUGGGAAUACUAGGAGAUCCUGGAAACCAUGGCCCUGCAGGAAAAAGAGGUCAACCAGGCAU